GGACAGCGACGGGGCUCAGGAGGGGAAACCAAAAAAUUGGCAUGACUCACUUUAUCGAGAUAUUCACUUUAUUGCGGUGGUCUGCAACGUAACCUGCAGUAUCUCUGAGGAUGGUGAUAGGCUGCCCCUCUGCAUCCAGAGCUCAGGCUGGGCACCAACGCUGAGAUGUAAUUUGCUUUCAAACAAGAAGGGCUCUCCCUGCUUGAUACCUGGAAGCUGGCUGGGAACAGAGGCUCAUCUGCUCAUCCUCCAACCCUGCACAGCACAGUCUGCAACAGCCCGGCAGGACGAGCACAGCCUACAGAGUCGGGACUGCUGGCUGGCCCACGUGACUCUUGGCAAGAUUCUUGCCCCUUCUGUGCUUCUCCUUCCUCGUCUGUCGACUGGGACUAAAAUGGUGCUUUUGUUAAAGGGUUGAUGAGGGUUACUUUCAUUAUUCUAUGUAAGAUGCUGAUUACAAGCCUGGCAUCUGUUAAGUGCAUAAAAUCAACACUGUAUGUCUAAUUAUUGACUAAUCCUGUUCCCAUGCCUCCAGUUAACCCAAGGCUAAGAGGCUAGCCUGAAGUCAUCCAGCAAGCGGGGAGGGUAAGGGUUAGGAGUCUUGAGGCUCUGCCCCUCAAAGGCUAAGUGAUGCCAUUUCAGAAACUCCCUGAACUGUACUGACAUGUCAUUAGUUCAACAAAUACUUACUGAGGGUCUACUGUAUGUCAGGCACUACGCUAAGCUGGGGAAAGACAGUCAAGGUCACCAAAUUUGGGAGCUUUCAUUAUAGUUGGGAAAACGGGCAUUAAAUAAGCAACAAAUAUACCUUUAGACAAUGCUGUGAAGGAAAUGGAUGGCAUAGCAUAAAUAUGUACAGCAUGGAUCCUCGUUUUGUAUUACUAAGAUACCGACAGCAUCUGUCUAGGACAAAUGUGAGGAAAGCCUGGGUUUUGGUAUGACAGAACUGGGUUUGAAGUCGAGCUCCAUGUAACCUUGGUCUGAUAAAUUAACCUUUCUGCUCCUCAUUC